GUGGCCACAAAUCCCUGCACCCUGUUGACUACUUUGUUCUGCUCUUGGUCCCUAGUAAGCCCUCGAUCUUGGGGAUCUCAACACUUCAAGUUUCUUCUGAGGGCCGAGAGUCCAGGCUCCUGGAACCAGAACCCAGCUGGGCCACUGUAGACACCCAAGCCAGCUGCAGUUCCCUCUGAGGGCCUGGCGCUCCUGGCUCUGUACCCUGUGCCUGCUCAUUUCCUUGCACGCUGCACCCAGGAAUCUCCCACAUCACCCCAGCCCAUCAUGGCAAAAAAUCAAAUCUCAUUAAAGGCCAUUGAUUUUCUUUCAGAUUUGCUGUGAGUACACUUUGAGGCUCCUCAGGUUACUGCCUGCUUCUACCACCAGCCCCUCAACUAUCAAUGCAACUUUUCCGGGGAACAGAAGCAUGCCAGGGCUGGCAGGUGGUACCAGGGGCCAUGGCCACCUCGGCUUUCUGGUGCAGCAAGACCCUGGGCGUGCAGAGGAUCUCUUGGGAGUCUGGCUGUCCUUGACUUCCUACAGGGCUUGUGCAGAGAGGAAGGCCAGAGGGGGAGAAGCGGUUCCCAUACUAUCCUCAAGUCAUGAGGGAGGACAGCCUGUGUUCGGGCCACGUUUCAUCCUUGGGACCACGAGAGCCGUACGCAGGGAGGAGCAUCCUGUGUCCUGUGAGAAGUGUGCCCGAGAGGCGGCCUACAUGACGCUGGCUCCCAGGGAGAGGAGGAAGAGGAGGAGAAGGGGAAGGAGGAGCACAACGGGAGGAGGAGGGCAGAGGACGGUAGGUAAAGGGAGAGGAGGCCGAGGCCGCCAGCUGUGGAGCCGAUUUCCUAGUUCCCAGAGCAGGCAGCAGAGCCUGUCCACAACCAGCAUGGCCAGGAGGCGAGAACAGGGGCCAAAAGAAGAGGUGGUUUGGGCCUGUUUCCCUCCCUGCUUCUGGCUUGACCUUACCUCUGCCACUCCUCCAGCCUCUGUCCACUCAUGGCCUUUGGGUAAAACAUACCCUGCUGCCUCCCAGGCUCCGCUGUGCUUUCUGGGAGCUGCACAGGGUGGCGGUGGUGUUUGUUCCUUCUCCGUAUAGACUGGAUUUGGGGUUCCUCAUGCCCACUUACUGGGCUGUGGCUUUGGUCCUCGUUGGGACACUGGGGUGGGUACGGAGACACAUUUCUCUCUUCUCCAAUCUUUAUAGCCCGGCUGUCCUCAAAGGGCUACCAACUCAUCCUCCGAGGGAAAGAGAAUCUUCAAGGCUCCUGAGACACCGCCCUGAACCAUUUCCUACCUUUUGUCUUUCUUCUCUUCUCUUCUCUUCUUGUCUCUGUCUCUUUCUCUUUCUCUCUCUCCUCCCUUCCAGUUUUGCUUUUGAGGAAUGAACUUAUUAUGAAAAUUCACAUUAAUAAUAAAAGUUCAAUCAAUACAAAAGGACACACAUUGUCAUGGUUUGGACCCUAUUUUGCAAGGGUAAAAAAUAUAAUACAAGACAUAUUU
rnacentral:lncRNA from 1 species